UACAGAGGAGCCAAGCGUUGUCCGGAUUGACUGGGCGUAAAGCGCACGCAGGCGGACGCGCGCGUGGGGUGUGAAAUCUGGCCGCUUAACGGCCAGGCGCCAUCCCAUACGGCGCGUCUGGAGCAAUGCAGAGGUCGGUGGAAUUGCCGGUGUAGUGGUGAAAUGCGUAGAGAUCGGCAGGAACACCCAGGGGGAAACCAGCCGAGCUGGGCCAUUUGGCUGACGCUGAGGUGCGAGAGCGUGGGGAGCGAACCGGAUUGAGAAACCCUUG
rnacentral:rRNA from 1 species